UCUGAAGGCGACUGCGGAGGAUCAUUAAUGAAUUUAGAUUGAACCAUAGGCGAAAGCCAGUGGUUCUUCUUUCAUAUCCAUAACACCUGUGCACUGUUGGAUGCUUGCAUCCACUUUUAAACUAAACAUUAUUGUAACAAAUGUAGUCUUAUUAUAACAUAAUAAAACUUUCAACAACGGAUCUCUUGGCUCUCGCAUCGAUGAAGAACGCAGCGAAAUGCGAUAAGUAAUGUGAAUUGCAGAAUUCAGUGAAUCAUCGAAUCUUUGAACGCACCUUGCGCUCCUUGGUAUUCCGAGGAGCAUGCCUGUUUGAGUGUCAUGAAACCCUCAAACCCAAGUUUUGGAUUUCGAUCCAUGCUUGAGUUUGGAUUUGGAUGUUUGCCGGUGAUGAACCGACUCAUCUUAAAAGUAUUAGCUUGGAUCUGUCUAUAUGACUGGUUUGACUUGGCAUAAUAAGUAUUUUGCUGAGGACAUCUUCGGAUGGCCAGGACCUAGACUACUGUCUGCUAACUAAACCAUCACUUUAAGUGCAUCUUUGGAUGUUACUCAUUGUGUAACUUUGACAUCUGGCCUCAAAUCAAGUAGGACUACCCGCUGAACUUAAGCAUAUCAAAAGCGGGAAAGGAA
rnacentral:rRNA from 1 species